rnacentral:rRNA from 1 species
ACUCAAAUGAAUUGACGGGGGCCCGCACAAGCAGCGGAGCGUGUGGUUUAAUUCGAUGGUACGCGAAGAACCUUACCUGGGUUUGACAUGACGGUAGUAGUCUGGUGAAAGCCGGGCGACCCUUCGGGGAGCCGUGACAGGUGCUGCAUGGCUGUCGUCAGCUCGUGUCGUGAGAUGUUGGGUUAAGUCCCGCAACGAGCGCAACCCUCGUCGUUAGUUACAAGUGUCUAACGAGACUGCCGGUAUCAAACCGGAGGAAGGUGGGGAUGACGUCAAGUCAGCAUGGUCUUUAUGUCCAGGGCGACACACACGCUACAAUGGCCGGUACAACAGGUUGCUACGGCGUCAGCCGAUGCUAAUCCCCAAAGCCGGUCUCAGUUCAGAUUGUCGUCUGCAACCCGACGGCAUGAAGGCGGAGUUGCUAGUAACCGCGCGUCAGCCAUAGUGCGGUGAAUGCGUUCCCGGGCCUUGUACACACCGCCCGU